GGGUGACUGGUUGCAGAAUUCCUCUUCUUGUUUCCCCCUCUAAGUUCUGUGGUCUUAGGAUGGUCGAGGUCAAUGAAAAAUUAAGUUGAUGCUUUAAUCUUGCUAUUAAGUAAGCUUAUUGCAUGAUGUGGUUCUCUCUAUUUUAUGGCCCUCGGCUGGCUUAGCAUCUUUAUAGGUCAGCCACAAAAGCUGAGCUACAAGCAAAUUUGCAAUCUUUACUGCUUUGUCUGGAAGGAGCAGAUCGAUAUGUGAUAUUGGCAUCAAAAUUUGCUAGAAUUUGUGGUAAAAAGUUUCCCUGUAGCUCCAACCUUCCAAAUCCUUGAGGAAUUAUAAAGCUUUUCAGCUCACAGAAGAAAAAAGUUUGGUUCCAGUAGGCUUCUCUCGGUUGUCUGAUACCUAUAUGUGUACCCUCAAUCUCCCUCUCAAUUUUUUCAUUUCUUGACUGAAUGAUCUAGGGCUUCACUUCAUGAUGAUUUAUAUUUUUUUUCUCCGAUAUGCGUUAAGAUUAUGAAUGUUAUGCUUUAGUCAGAUGCCAGUCCAAUGAGAUUUUAAGUGCUUGGUUGUCAUGAAUGUGUUAUUCUGUUAAUGAUGCUGCUCGAUUGUUUCUCAUGAACGAUGACAUGUUAAUUUGGUGUUUAUCUUCAGAAAUAUAUUUUUGAUGCUCUCAAGUUUAAAACGUUUAUCAUUGGAUUCUUCAAAUUUCUUGAGUGAUCUAAUGCGACACUGCCAUCCAACUUCAUCAUCUAGAUCUCAAGAAAUUGUGUCGCUUUACCGCCUCUGUCAUAAAAAUUAUUUUAAAUCUGAAACGUACGAACGACGUGACCAAGAAGUGGAGCCUUGCUCGCCUUUUGUUUGACAAAAUGCCAUCCUGACCCUACUGCCCUCGACUCCCUCCUUCGCGAGGCAGAUGGGUAAGUGGAGCUUCGGGCUCGCCUUCUCCUCGUCCCUACCAAUAUGGAAUCCUACCCUCUCGACCCCUGCUUGUGCCUCCACCACCCCAGACUCUUCGUCCAUAUUGUUCGGCAACGCCACCGCCUCCACCGUAUUCGCUGGUGAAUUCCUCCUUGCCUCCAUCGGUCUUGACGGCUUCUGCAGCGCUGAAGCCAUUUGCGGCAUGGCCAAGUCCGUUGGUGCACGGGCGACACUGCUAAUGGCGCGGGUUACCAAUGUGGAGGAAGAAGCAUCAAGAUGGUGAUUAAUUCUUGUACUACACUUCUUGUGGAAUGUUCAAGGAUUCAAUCAUGGCGGGAUAGGGUUGGAACUUAAAAUUUUCAAUGCUGGCUGGGACACUAGCUGUAGCAAUGGAGUUCAAGACAAUGCCAAAAAUGAGUACGCAAGCUUAUGUCACCACCUCUACCAUGUUUGAUGCAAUGCAUCAAAAAAAGAAGAAAAUCCAAAUGAGUACGGUCUUUUGCUUCCUGACACUGAUUGAUAUGUAGAAACUUAGGGAGAGAUGCAUCUGGGCGUAGGAUGCUCGUUGGAAGUAGCAGCGAUCUUUAAUUGAAGUUCUUAACUUUUCUGAAAGGGAAAAUGAAUUCAUUUAACUUUUAUGACCGGGAAAAUGAAUUCUAUGAAAGGAAGAUAGAUCAUUUUAUCUUUGUGGAAUGAUAAGAUGCCUUGUUUUGGGAAGUUGGUGGAAAGAAAAUUAUCUCAUCUUUUGGGGUGUUUCGGUUGGUGAUAGCCAUUUGCAGGCUGUUAGGUGCUUGCUUGCAGACCAGAGGGAGGAGCAUGUGAGACAUCGUGGAGGAAGAAAAACACACUUAGGC